ACAUGGGUAGUGUAGAGGGGGGAUGGGCGAUUGGUUGCAUCCGGGAGCAGGAUCUAGCGAUUGGGUGGGUGAAUGGUGUCUGCUGCAAGGGCUGCUUUGGAUUGGCUGCUGCUUUGUCAAAUAGGCGGGUUAUUAGUGGAUGCUUCAAGCGCUACUUUGGAUUGGCUGCCACUUCGGCGAUUCGGCUUGUGUUGCUUGAAAUUGUUAGUGUUUGCCAGUUGGCUAUUGAUAAUGGCAGGUGUCCACACACCCCAAACCUGAGAUACUCAGAAGUUACCUACAUCACCUGCAGAAAACCCAAAGAAUGUAAUCCUUGGCAUAGAUUCCACUUUCCUGGGAACAUCAUCUUUCAUGUAGGAACCAAUUAAAAGGGAAAGAGCUGCCCACCAAGUUGAACUGAUCAUUAUCUUUGUGAGUGGGAUUGACUUAACACAGGACUCUUCUGUUCUUUGCAACACGUGGUUCCAUCUUUAGACCACAUGGCAUAAGAAUGACUUCCUAACAUGCUGCCCUAUGGACCACCCCCCGCUCAGUGCAGACUGCUCCCCCCGCUCCUGGCUCCUUUCUG